CCUACGGGUGGCAGCAGUGGGGAAUAUUGCUCAAUGGGGGAAACCCUGAAGCAGCAACGCCGCGUGGAGGAUGAAGGUUUUCGGAUUGUAAACUCCUUUUGUUAGAGAAGAUAAUGACGGUAUCUACCGACUACGCACCGGCUAACUCCGUGCCAGCAGCCGCGGUACUACGUAGGGUGCAAGCGUUACUCGGAAUCACUGGGCGUAAAGAGCGCGUAGGCGGGAUAGCAAGUCAGAUGUUAAAUCCUAUGGCUUAACCAUAGAACUGCAUUUGAAACUGGUAUUCUAGAGUAUGGGAGAGGUAGGUGGAAUUCUGGGUGUAGGGGUAAAAUCCGUAGAGAUCAAGAGGAAUACUCAUGGCGAAGGCGACCUGCUAGAACAUAACUGACGUUGAUGCGCGAAAGCGUGGGGAGCAAACAGGAUUAGAUACCCGUGUAGUC
rnacentral:rRNA from 1 species